rnacentral:rRNA from 1 species
CCUACGGGUGGCAGCAGUGAGGAAUAUUGGUCAAUGGACGAGCGUCUGAACCAGCCAAGUAGCGUGAAGGAUGACUGCCCUAUGGGUUGUAAACCUCUUUUAUCUGGGAAUAAAAUGUUCCACGUGUGGGCUUUUGUAUGUACCCUAUGAAUAAGGCUCGGCUAAAUCCGUGCCCGCAGCCGCGGUAAUACGGAGGAUCCGAGCGUUAUUCGGAUUUAUUGGGUUUAAAGGGAGCGUAGGUGGAUUUUCAAGUCAGUUGUGAAAGUUUGCGGCUCAACCGUAAAAUUGCAGUUGAAACUGGCAGUCUUGAGUACAGGAGAGGUGUGCGGAAUUCGUGGUGUAGCGGUGAAAUGCUUAGAUAUCACGAAGAACUCCGAUUGCGAAGGCAGCUCACUGGACUGCAACUGACACUGAGGCUCGAAAGUGUGGGUAUCAAACAGGAUUAGAUACCCGUGUAGUC